rnacentral:rRNA from 1 species
CCUACGGGAGGCAGCAGUAGGGAAUAUUGCUCAAUGGGGGAAACCCUGAAGCAGCAACGCCGCGUGGAGGAUGAAGGUUUUCGGAUCGUAAACUCCUUUUGUUAGAGAAGAUAAUGACGGUAUCUAACGAAUAAGCACCGGCUAACUCCGUGCCAGCAGCCGCGGUAAUACGGAGGGUGCAAGCGUUACUCGGAAUCACUGGGCGUAAAGAGCGCGUAGGCGGGAUAGCAAGUCAGAUGUGAAAUCCUAUGGCUUAACCAUAGAACUGCAUUUGAAACUGUUAUUCUAGAGUAUGGGAGAGGUAGGUGGAAUUCUUGGUGUAGGUGUAAAAUCCGUAGAGAUCAAGAGGAAUACUCAUUGCGAAGGCGACCUGCUAGAACAUAACUGACGCUGAUGCGCGAAAGCGUGGGGAGCAAACAGGAUUAGAUACCCUAGUAGUC